CCUACGGGGGGCUGCAGUGGGGAAUAUUGGACAAUGGGGGCAACCCUGAUCCAGCCAUGCCGCGUGUGUGAAGAAGGCCCUCGGGUUGUAAAGCACUUUCAGUGAGGAAGAACGCCUGGUGGUUAAUACCCAUCAGGAAAGACAUCACUCACAGAAGAAGCACCGGCUAACUCCGUGCCAGCAGCCGCGGUAAUACGGAGGGUGCGAGCGUUGAUCGGAAUUACUGGGCGUAAAGCGCGCGUAGGUGGCUUGAUAAGCCGGUUGUGAAAGCCCCGGGCUCAACCUGGGAACGGCAUCCGGAACUGUCAAGCUAGAGUGCAGGAGAGGAAGGUAGAAUUCCCGGUGUAGCGGUGAAAUGCGUAGAGAUCGGGAGGAAUACCAGUGGCGAAGGCGGCCUUCUGGACUGACACUGACACUGAGGUGCGAAAGCGUGGGUAGCAAACAGGAUUAGAUACCCGGGUAGUC
rnacentral:rRNA from 1 species